CAGGUGUCGUCAGCGCCUUCACCUUCCCCGUGCUCUACCGGCGCCACCAGGCCCAGAUCGAUCAAUACCUGAGCCUGGCCCGGGGCCACCUGAGCCACCUGCGAGCCAGGGUCCUGGCCAAGCUGCCAAGUGCCAAAGUGAAGCCGCAGUGACACCGCUGUCCCCGCUGUCCCCGCCCCGAGGUGACAAUGAGGAGGGGGGCGUGGCCAUGGGGAGGAGGCCACGCCCCAUUCGUGUCCUUUUAAUUUAAUUUAAUUUAAUUUAGUUUUAUUUUAUUUUAUUCCUGUCCUUCCAAUUUAAUAAAAACUCUUGUGACAAACCGGU